rnacentral:lncRNA from 1 species
AUUACCUUUGUGUUACCCUCUGAAAGCUUCCCCAAACAGUAGCUCCUUCACAGCAGCCUAUCAACGCCACCAUACAACUCUGCCUUGCUUACACUCUUUCUUUUCCCUUCUCUGCUGUGUCUUUCCUAAUGAUUAGAUCUCUGAGGUUAACAGCUGGGACAGAUAGCAAAGGCCAUGGGGAGGUCCAGGGAGGAAUGUACUGGGCACAGAAUCUUCUGGAAGGCCAGGAGACCUCCUCUGACUGGGACACAGCCUGCUAAUCAUGCUCCUUCCCUUCCCCUCUGGAUGCAUUUGAAUAUCGGAUAAACAGCUUCACCUGGUCAGCACAAAAGCUGAAACUCACGAAACUGAAAUCAGGAGGAUGCGAAGUUCAGUCAUCACCUGGUGGCAUAAGGGAGGCCAUAAGGAGGCUGGGAGCAUUCAGAGCUCAGAACUGCUGCUCCUGUUUUCUCCAAGGAUGGAAGAGAUGCUUCCUUGCACUACCCAGCUCUGCAAAGAGUGGCCGCUCUUUUACCUGGAGAGGCCACUCUAGGUGUGUGGAUGGAACUGGUCAUUACACUCUGCACUUUGCAGCAGGAAGGUCUGGGUGCUUCAGAGGAAGCUGUUUCUUUGGCAGGAUGCUCGAAAGCAGGAAGAUUUCAACCUUCCUAUACUAUCACCCUCUGUUUUGCCUUGACAUCUCAAGAAAGAAAGACUUCAGCUCCUGUGGAGACAAGUCAAAUUAUUUAAAUGAUUUUCAUCUAUUUUCACUAUGAAACAUUUUAAUCCAGGCUGCACAUGGGAGAUAUGUUCACUUUUGUUUCUAAAGCUUGUACAAUAUUGGAACCCUGUACUUUACUUGGGUCAUGAAGUAACUUGAUACACCGGGAAGAAGUGUAGAAAAUAGUUGAAUAUAAAAUAUGUUCUUAAGUUUAAUCUUAAUUAAACAUUACACUAGUUAGUUGUUUUAGUUUUGUCUAGACCCAGCUCAGGCUGGUAUGUUAAUUCCUGAUAAGACACGGCCUAGACUCCUCAGUGUUUGAGAAGACAUAGCUUCGCACAGUUCUCCUGGCUUGCAGAGCAAGGCUGAAUUCAGCCUGGCCCACCUGUUGGUGAUCCAAAGUAGUUCUUGCCCAGUGAGAGUGGGGUAUUAUUCACACACACACCUUGCACCUUUUGCCUUUGUGAACUUCUCUCUCUCCUCCACUUCACUGCCAGCAGAAUGGAAGUUCUGACCAUUGAGGCACCUGAGUGCAGGCCCCACAAAGACAACCCAGCAAACACACAAACAAAGAAAGGUUAGCGAGAGCUCCAAGACAUUCCUGAUAAACUCAGACCCUGACAAACUCAGUCCAAACUUCCUUGAUGGGGAGCAGUCAGCAGAACAAAGAAUGCCUAAUGGGUACAGAACAAAGGAACUGACCUUCCAUGAAAAUAGGAGUUAGU